UUUUAGGGUCCCAUUUUAUAAUUCCUGGUUGCCAAGCGUUCUUCAAGGCACCGGUUUGGGAAAUGCUGAGAGCUAAAGGUGUGGCAAACAUUGCAGGUGAUUGCGAGAGGAACCAGGUGAAAGAUUAUAGUUAUGCUCCAAGAAAGACCAAAUGAGUCAGCUACUCCUUACGUUGGAAUAUAAAGACGUCAACCAACUAUCUUUGGAUAUCAGGAGCAAACAUUACACUGCACCAGAUAAGAUCCAAUUCACCUGGAGUGGCCAUUAUAGGAGAAAUGAACAUCGAAGAGGGAGAUAUUGGCUCUAAUCCAUAACAUAGUUGAUCUUCUCCCCCAGCCACUACUGGCACCACCUAGCAUUCGUUCCUCAACCAAGGAUUCAUUCCAAUCAAUUCAGCUGGAAAAGUGUGCCAAAGAACAACCUGGACAUAGAGAAGAGAGCAAUCCAGCAUGAUGGCGUAUGUGUGAGACAUGACAGAAGCUCCAGGUCCACAGCUGUCCCCUCUAGAACUACAUCAGUAUGCCCAGCUCUCCAAAAGCUGGUUCAAAUCCUUUGCAAGGAAAUCAAAGAAGCUGAUACCUUUCCAGAAUGGGUAUGGCAAAUUGCUGCCCGUACGCUGAUACUCCCCUCUCCCAUCAUUGUUAUUCCCAUUUGAGGGCUAACUGAUGGUCUCAUUCUUUCCUGCUGAGCCCGGGUGGAACUUGAGAAUCCCUCCCAGCAGAGCACACCAGGCAUAGGGUGCUGAAAGACUGGAGUUUUUAUGCAGGGUGAAAUCCAGUGGUAAUCUCACUUUAUAAUAGUCCCCCACACCAGCUCCCUGUGUGGUGAGGACAUAGGUAUUUGUCCUCAUCUUGGCCAAUGGGACACAUUGUGUGUCUCAUUGCUGAUGAAAGUUCCCUCUCUUUUGAUCAUAUAAGUAGAUACAUCUCUACAUCUUAGUGUGUAAAAAAAAAAAAAAAGGCAAGAAUUUGUUUUCCUUUUAUAUGUUUGGAUUUCCAUGGUGAGGGAGGUAUAAAAUUCAAUUAAUUGUUAAAAUAACCCUCCCCAAACGCACAUGAAAUAAAAUCUUUUACUUCCUGGAA